CCUACGGGUGGCAGCAGUCGAGAAUCAUUCACAAUGGGGGAAACCCUGAUGGUGCGACGCCGCGUGGGGGAAUGAAGGUCUUCGGAUUGUAAACCCCUGUCAUGUGGGAGCAAAUUAAAAAGAUAGUACCACAAGAGGAAGAGACGGCUAACUCUGUGCCAGCAGCCGCGGUAAUACGGAGGGUGCAAGCGUUGUCCGGAAUCAUUGGGCGUAAAGAGUUCGUAGGCGGCAUGUAAAGUCAGGUGUUAAAGGCGCAGGCUCAACCUGUGUAUGGCACUUGAUACUUGCAAGCUGGAAUGCGGUAGAGGUAAAGGGAAUUCCUGGUGUAGCGGUGAAAUGCUUAGAUAUCAGGAGGAACAUCGGUGGCGUAAGCGCUUUACUGGGCCGUAAUUGACGCUGAGGAACGAAAGCCAGGGUAGCAAAUGGGAUUAGAUACCCCAGUAGUC
rnacentral:rRNA from 1 species